rnacentral:rRNA from 1 species
UACGUAGGGACCAAGCGUUGUUCGGAUUUACUGGGCGUAAAGGGCGCGUAGGCGGCGCGGUAAGUCACUUGUGAAAUCUCUGAGCUUAACUCAGAACGGCCAAGUGAUACUGCAGUGCUAGAGUGUGGAAGGGGCAAUCGGAAUUCUUGGUGUAGCGGUGAAAUGCGUAGAUAUCAAGAGGAACACCUGAGGUUAAGACGGGUUGCUGGGCCAACACUGACGCUGAUGCGCGAAAGCCAGGGGAGCAAACGGG